ACCUUAUACAAAUGUAUUAAACGCAAGACAGUUUAGCAUUUCCCUGUAAGGUGGUGUUAAAUAGAAGCUUUAACGAUAAGUGCUAUUGUGUAACUAUUAAAGUUGAAAUAGUAUGAGUUAAAGUGGAAUAGGUUAAUCGUAAGACCUUAAGUUGAAAAACUUUAAAAUUGACCUUAAAUACUUUUAUAAUUAUUAAGUUACGGUAAA
rnacentral:ncRNA from 1 species